UACAGAGGUCUCAAGCGUUGUUCGGAUUCAUUGGGCGUAAAGGGUGCGUAGGCGGCGCGGUAAGUCGGAUGUGAAAUCUCGGAGCUUAACUUCGAAACUGCAUUCGAUACUGCCGUGCUUGAGGACUGGAGAGGAGACUGGAAUUUACGGUGUAGCGGUGAAAUGCGUAGAUAUCGUAAGGAAGACCAGUGGCGAAGGCGGGGCUCUGGACAGUUCCUGACACUGAGGCACGAAGGCCAGGGGAGCAAACGGG
rnacentral:rRNA from 1 species